UGUCACCUAGGCUGGAGUGCAGUGGCACAAUCAGCUGACUGUAAACUUGAACUCCUUGGCUUAGGAUCCUCCUGCCUCAGCCUCCCAAGUAGCUAGGACUACAGACAUGUGCUACCACACCUGGCUAAUUUUUUUAUUUUUUGCAGAGACAGGGUCUCACUAAGUUUCCCAGGCUGGUCUCAAACUCCUGGGCUCAAGCGAUUCUCCCACCUCAGCCUCUCAAAAUGUUAGGAUUACAGGCAUGAGCCACUACACCUGGCCACAGGUGUUCUUCUUGGUUGAGGUCAGCUCAAGGAUUGUUGGGGGCAGAGUGAAGAGACUGUUGUGGAGUUAACCCUAAAGAAGACCACCAUGUACAGCUGUACAAGAUGUGCACUGCACAAAGGCAUCAGGUUAAGGAGGCAAUUGGGAGCUGACACUAAGCCUGUACACUACUUACACAGCCAUGGGAUUGUGGUUUGGGGAAACUUUGUAUACAUUAAGUGCUGUGGUGGCCCUGCCCUACAGCUCUCCUAACCUCUACCUCCCAAAGCUCCAUUAAGUCCAGAGAUGCAGUCCCAUAAGAAACUCUAGGGUGCAGUCCACCUUUGUUAUUUUCUCCUUUUUAUGUACUCCAACUCCUUCCCAUACAAGCACCAGGGAGAUUUGUCAUCAGAAAAAUCACAUUUUAUUGAUCACUUUUAUUUAAAAUUACAAAAAUAUAAAUAAAAAUAGUGAAAUAUAAAUAUUCAUGGAAUAUCAG
rnacentral:lncRNA from 10 species